CGCCCGGCCGGAUCCCGUGGGGGGAAUCCGCACCGGGACAUGGGAAGG
rnacentral:ncRNA from 1 species